rnacentral:tRNA from 1 species
GACUCCGUGGCUUAGAGGUAACGUACUUGCCUCGAAACCUCGGGGUCCUGGGUUCGAUUCCCAGUCGAGGAACU